rnacentral:rRNA from 1 species
UCAAGCGAAUAAGCGCACAC